rnacentral:lncRNA from 1 species
AGAGCCCGGGGUCGGUCAAUCAGGUGCGGGCGGCUGGAGCAUGGCUUUGUGAGGCCUCUGAGGGGACCCGGCGGUGGCGGCCACGGCGGGACGGGCCGCCCACCAGUUGAACUCCGACAGCUGAGGCGGCUGAGGAGAUUAGACUCCAGAGAUAAUGAUAUUAGGAAAUCCAAACUGAAAUGGACCCCAGAGCAAUUGAAGAAAGAAAGAGUCAAGAGUUUCACUCUUGUUG